CAGCGUGGGCACUGCUCCAGAC
rnacentral:miRNA from 1 species